GAUGAACGCUGGCGGCGUGCCUAAUACAUGCAAGUCGAGCGAACAGACGAGGAGCUUGCUCCUCUGACGUUAGCGGCGGACGGGUGAGUAACACGUGGAUAACCUACCUAUAAGACUGGGAUAACUUCGGGAAACCGGAGCUAAUACCGGAUAAUAUAUUGAACCGCAUGGUUCAAUAGUGAAAGACGGUUUUGCUGUCACUUAUAGAUGGAUCCGCGCCGCAUUAGCUAGUUGGUAAGGUAACGGCCUACCAAGGCGACGAUGCGUAGCCGACCUGAGAGAGUGAUAGGCCACCCGGGAACGGAGACACCGUCCAGACGCCUACGGGAGGCAGCAGUAGGGAAUCUGCCGCAAUGGGCGAAAGCCUGACGGAGCAACGCGGCGUGAGUGAUGAAGGUCUUCGGAGCGUAAAACUCGGUUAUUAGGGAAGAACAAAUGUGUAAGUAACUAUGCACGUCUUGACGGUAACUAAUCAGAAAGCCACGGCUAACUACGUG
rnacentral:rRNA from 1 species